GCUGGGGCUCAGCGGUAGCGCACAUGCCUGGCAUGUGUGAGGCACUGGGUUCGAUUCUCAGCACUGCA
rnacentral:tRNA from 1 species